AUUGAACGCUGGCGGCAGGCCUAACACAUGCAAGUCGAACGAGUGGCGGACGGGUGAGUAAUGCCUGGGAAACUGCCUGAUGGAGGGGGAUAACUACUGGAAACGGUAGCUAAUACCGCAUACCAUCGGAUGUGCCCAGAUGGGAUUAGCUAGUUGGUGGGGUAAAGGCUCACCUAGGCGACGAUCCCUAGCCAGUCUUAGAGGAUGACCAGCAAAGUUGGAACUUGUACACGGUCCAGACUCCUAAGGGAGGCAGCAGUGGGGAAUAUUGCACAAUGGGCGCAAUCCUGAUGCAGCCAUGCCGCGUGUAUGAAGAAGGCCUUCGGGUUGUAAAGUACUUUCAGCGGGGAGGCGUUACCCGCAGAAGAAGCACCGGCUAACUCCGUGUCAGCAGCCGCGGUAAUAC
rnacentral:rRNA from 1 species